rnacentral:lncRNA from 1 species
GCUUGCCGACAGGUAAACCGCCGCUGUACUUAGAUGAGUUGAGAUUUACACAUCAAUGCCAGCUCACAAAGCAUCUAAUACGGCAAUCAGCCAGCCACCUCCGCAGAUGGAGAAUUCUGCAGUUUCCAAUCAUACUGUUUCUGUUGUCCUUGGCAGAGAUGUUGAUUGUACACAGAGGGAAUAUAUUGUAGGACAAUAAAAAUAACUUGUCAUGACAA